CUGUGUGGAUUGGGGUACGGUGUGCAUCUUUAAUGUCAAAACGACUCUCGGCAACGGAUAUCUCGGCUCUCGCAUCGAUGAAGAACGUAGCGAAAUGCGAUACUUGGUGUGAAUUGCAGAAUCCCGUGAACCAUCGAGUCUUUGAACGCAAGUUGCGCCCGAACCUUCGGGCC
rnacentral:rRNA from 1 species